GCCGUCCUAGCUCAAUGGCAGAGCAAACGCUUUGUAAGCGUUAGGUUAUCGGUUCAAGUCCGAUGGACGGCU
rnacentral:tRNA from 1 species